UGCGUGAGAAGAGAAAUAUAGACAUGAAAUGAAAGAGAUGUAUAAUGCCUGAGAGGUGGAUUAGUUUGAGAGGGUGUUCCUCAUCCAAUGCUUGGGGGGGUGGGGGGGGUUGUAAAAAUGCUAAACACCACAGCCUAUAAGUACGCACACCUCUGAUGCACACACAGUGCCUGACUGACAUCAAACACGAAAACAUGAACUUCAUGAAGGGAGCAGAUGGGCAGGUGGACAAGAUUAUCGAUCAGGCUGCUGAGGUGGCCAAAGAGAAAGUUGGAGGAAUAAUCGGAGGAGACAAGAAAAAGGCAGGAGGUGCAAAAAGCCAGAAAGAGGGUGGAGGUAAUCUUUUAGUUUCCUUUGAUAGGAGACUUUGGAAAGAUACGAAAUUCUUCCACUAUCAUAUUCAUCCAGUUUGAAACUCUCUGAUCAAUACAUUCUGUCUGUAGGUGUUGGAGAUAUGUUGAGCGGCGCAAUCGGCAAAGCUGCUACAGACGCUGCAGCAAAAAGUGCCGCUGAUCAGGCUAUGGACAUUGGGAAGAGCCUGUUCAAGUGAGCCUGCUUACUUUGAACAUGAUCACACUUUCUCCCUCAUCACUGGAUUCUAAUUGGACCACACAAUCUUGCAGUUUUAAAACUUUAUAUGGCAGCACUGAAUGUUUCUCCAGAGGCUGUACGUUUUAUGUCGUCUUGAAAGAGGCAAUGCCUAUAUUUCUGUACCUUUUGAGAUUUUUAAAUUUAGAAAAUCAUUUCCGAAUGCAUUUCUAUUAUAAUUAUUAUUUAAACAAAACCAAUAAAAUUGAUGCUUAACAUGGAAAUAAAGAAAUAAAGAGCUGUUGCUCAGUGAGAGAUUGAGUUAUCUUACAAGUCAAAGUUGUUGUUUUUUUGGCUAAUGUUUGAAAUGAUUUCUGUGAUCUUGUCAAACAUGAUGUCAUGUUUUAAGAUAAGACAAACCGGCUUAUAACACAAAACAUCACAGAAUUAAUAAAAUUCAUUACUAAUACUUACUGGUGUUUGUGCUGUUGUUAUCCGACCAAAAUGGUGUCACUUCUGAGG
rnacentral:lncRNA from 1 species